CUCCUCCCCCCUCCGCCGCUGCGUUCUCCCCUCACGAGGUCACCUGACGGCCGGAGACGGCCGCGGUGGUGUCCCCCCUCCCUGCGCCGGAGUCGACGACGACGCCGCCUCUGCGGCUGCCUUUGCCACCUGGAAAAUGGGAGAGGAGGGAGGAUUCAGAGAUGGAUAUUAUCAAUAUACUCCAUGGAUGCAAAUCCUAACAAGAGCGCACCAUGCAUCGGCGACGCAUCAGCAUGCACUAACUUUAAUUGCCAAGGCCCUAGUUGAUUGCUGCCACCAUCACUUGUUGGAAUUAUUUUUGUUAGGUGAAUUCACAGGUCGUUGCCUUGCUUGCUUGCUCCUCACAUUGUGAAAAGAACCACCCCUCCAAUGCAAAAAUGAACUGUUCAUCUCUUUAUAUAGAUGCAUACUUAAAGCAAAAAUGAGUGCUUCCGUGUGAGAGAAAAAAAAUCAAUUAAUUAAGACAUACUGAUUGCUUAGCUCUGGCAGUUGUGAAUUUGUGACGCAUCUCUCCAAAAGUAGUUAUGUGCGUCAGACAAGUGUGUUGUCCGUUUCUUGAUUGUGAGGGAGCAAAACUUUCAUGAAGGCCAGAGCAUUACAGCAAAUAUUUUGUGCUUAAAUACAAUUUGUUUAUCUGAAUUUUCAUUGAGAACCCCUCUCCUUUAGGGGAAUGAA